UGGCCUGGUUCUCUUUGCAGCUGGAGCUGUGGUGGCUGGAGCUGUGAUGUGGAGGAAGAAGUGCUCAGGGGAAAAAAGAGGGAGCUACGCUCAGGCUGCAGGUAAGUUUGAGUGGGGAGUUGAUCCCUGAGACCCUUGAGAUAGUGUAGACAGAUCCCAUGGGGGAGCUCACUCACCCCAUAGUUCUUCCUUAAGUCUCAUCUCCUCUGGGCUCUGACCGCAUCCUGUUUUGUUCUACCCCAGGCAGUGACAGUGUCCAGGGUUCUGAUGUGUCUCUCUGGACAGGUGAGGCCCUGGAGGCCUGAAGUGAGGGAGGUGUUGGGGAGAAGGGCCAUGACUAGGUUAUAGAGAUUCUCUCAUUGGGACAUUUUGAAUAGCUGGUGGGCUGUUGAGAAUGUCAACACUAUGUGACUGACCUGAAUUUGUUCGUGAUUAUUUUCUUUCCCAGUGUGAGACAGCCGCCUUCUGGGGGACUGAGUGAUGCAAGAUUUGUUCACGUUCCCACUUUGUGACUUCAAAUCUCUUGAAUUCUCUUUCUGCAACUGGUAUCUGGUGUCUGCGUUCCUAUUAGCAUAAUGUGAGGAGGUGGUGAGACGGGCCCUCCCCCUCCCCAUCAUCACCCUCCCCCCCUACUGACCUGUGUUCUUUCCUUGAUUGAGCUUCCUGUUCCAGCAGAGGCGGGGCUGGGCCAUCUCCAUCCCUGUCUUAACUUCAUGUUGCAUUGAGCAGUAAUGACUUGCUUCCUUACUGAAAAUAUGAAUCUGGAUAUGAAUUUGUUUUUUCCAAUUUUUUUCUAAGGGAUUGAUGUGUUAAUUAAAGGAGAAGAUUCCUAAAG